ACCACCCCUCGUUUGCACGCACGCACGUUCAUUCUCCGUCCUCGCGCCCCUUUUCCUACACUUUCCUCUUCUCCCCGACCGGAGGAGCCGCUCUUUCCGCGCGGUGCAUUCUGGGGCCCGAGGUCGAGCCCGCCGCUGCCGCCGUCGCCUGAGGGAAGCGAGAAGAGGCCGCGACCGGAGAGAAAAAGCGGAGUCGCCACCGGAGAGAAGUCGACUCCCUAGCAGCAGCCGCCGCCAGAGAGGCCCGCCCACCAGUUCGCCCGUCCCCCUGCCCCGUUCACAAUACUCCAUUCAGAAGAGAGAAGAGGGGAGUGACUUUAUGUCUUUGGAAAAGUAAUAAGGAUUUGCUUGAUUCAAGUCAUGAUACUGAGGCUGAGUAUAUUGGCUAGAAAUCUAAAGGGAUGCGUGAGGCUGAAGCGAGUUUAUCACUGGGAACAAGCUUCUAGAGCACAGCAUGUUAGAAUUUUUGAAGGAGCCCCCUCCCCGAAAGUGAUACGUAAUCGGGGUUUUAAAAAAUUUGAAUUAGGCUGGGCGCGGUGGCUCACAACUGUGAUCCCAGCACUCUGAGAGGCCGAGGCGGGCGGAUCACCUGAGGUCGGGAGUUCGAGACCAGACUGACCAACAUGGAGAAACCGCGUCGCUGC
rnacentral:lncRNA from 10 species